AUUUAUUUAGUAUAAUAAGUACUUUUGAUUUCCAAUCAAAUAGUCUAAUAAAUUUAGAAUAAAUA
rnacentral:tRNA from 1 species